rnacentral:rRNA from 1 species
GUUAUAUGGUCAAGUGAAGAAGCGCAUACGGUGGAUGCCUUGGCAGUCAGAGGCGAUGAAAGACGUGGUAGCCUGCGAUAAGCUUUGGGGAGUCGGCAAACAGACUGUGAUCCAGAGAUCUCUGAAUGGGGGAACCCAGCCAGCAUAAGCUGGUUAUCUUGUACUGAAUACAUAGGUGCAAGAGGCGAACCAGGGGAACUGAAACAUCUAAGUACCCUGAGGAAAAGAAAUCAACCGAGAUUCCCUUAGUAGUGGCGAGCGAACGGGGACCAGCCCUUAAGCUGGUUUGAGAUUAGUGGAACGCUCUGGAAAGUGCGGCCAUAGUGGGUGAUAGCCCCGUACACGAAAAUCUCUUGCCAGUGAAAUCGAGUAGGACGGAGCACGAGAAACUUUGUCUGAACAUGGGGGGACCAUCCUCCAAGGCUAAAUACUACUGACUGACCGAUAGUGAACCAGUACCGUGAGGGAAAGGCGAAAAGAACCCCGGAGAGGGGAGUGAAAUAGAACCUGAAACCGUAUGCGUACAAGCAGUGGGAGCCUACUUUGUUAGGUGACUGCGUACCUUUUGUAUAAUGGGUCAGCGACUUAUAUUCAGUGGCGAGCUUAACCGAAUAGGGGAGGCGUAGCGAAAGCGAGUCUUAAUAGGGCGCUUUAGUCGCUGGGUAUAGACCCGAAACCGGGCGAUCUAUCCAUGGGCAGGUUGAAGGUUAGGUAACACUGACUGGAGGACCGAACCGACUACCGUUGAAAAGUUAGCGGAUGACCUGUGGAUCGGAGUGAAAGGCUAAUCAAGCUCGGAGAUAGCUGGUUCUCCUCGAAAGCUAUUUAGGUAGCGCCUCAUGUAUCACUGUAGGGGGUAGAGCACUGUUUCGGCUAGGGGGUCAUCCCGACUUACCAAACCGAUGCAAACUCCGAAUACCUACAAGUGCCGAGCAUGGGAGACACACGGCGGGUGCUAACGUCCGUCGUGAAAAGGGAAACAACCCAGACCGUCAGCUAAGGUCCCAAAGUCAUGGUUAAGUGGGAAACGAUGUGGGAAGGCUUAGACAGCUAGGAGGUUGGCUUAGAAGCAGCCACCCUUUAAAGAAAGCGUAAUAGCUCACUAGUCGAGUCGGCCUGCGCGGAAGAUGUAACGGGGCUCAAACCAUGCACCGAAGCUACGGGUGUCAUCUUUGAUGACGCGGUAGAGGAGCGUUCUGUAAGCCUGUGAAGGUGAGUUGAGAAGCUUGCUGGAGGUAUCAGAAGUGCGAAUGCUGACAUGAGUAACGACAAUGCGAGUGAAAAACUCGCACGCCGAAAGACCAAGGUUUCCUGCGCAACGUUAAUCGACGCAGGGUUAGUCGGUCCCUAAGGCGAGGCUGAAAAGCGUAGUCGAUGGAAAACAGGUUAAUAUUCCUGUACUUCCAGUUAUUGCGAUGGAGGGACGGAGAAGGCUAGGCCAGCUUGGCGUUGGUUGUCCAAGUUUAAGGUGGUAGGCUGA